rnacentral:rRNA from 1 species
GACGAACGCUGGCGGCGUGCUUAACACAUGCAAGUCGAACGGAAAGGCCCUGCUUUUGUUGGGUGCUCGAGUGGCGAACGGGUGAGUAACACGCGAGUAACCUGCCCUUGACUUUGGGAUAACUUCAGGAAACUGGGGCUCAUACCGGAUAGGAGCUCCUGCUGCAUGGUGGGGGUUGGAAAGUUUCGGCGGUUGGGGAUGGACUCGCGGCUUAUCAGCUUGUUGGUGGGGUAGUGGCUUACCAAGGCUUUGACGGGUAGCCGGCCUGAGAGGGUGACCGGCCACAUUGGGACUGAGAGAGGGCGCAGACGCCUAAGGGAGGCAGCAGUGGAGAAUAUUGCACAAUGGGCGGAAGCCAGAUGCAGCAACGCCGCGUGCGGGAUGCCGGCCUUCGGGUUGUAAACCGCUUUCGCCUGUGACGAAGCGGGAGUGACGGUAAUGGGUAAAGAAGCACCGGCUAACUACGUG